UCGUAAAGCCGUUUACGUACCCGAAAGGUCGACCCCUUAAAGGUGCCGAAGGUAUGGAUGGUGAUUGGGAUG
rnacentral:rRNA from 1 species